UACGUAGGUGGCAAGCGUUGUCCGGAUUUAUUGGGUUUAAAGGGUGCGUAGGUGGUCUAUUAAGUCAGUGCUGAAAUAUCCCGGCUUAACCGGGAGGGUGGCAUUGAUACUGAUGGACUUGAGUGGAGUCGAGGUAGGCGGAAUUGACGGUGUAGCGGUGAAAUGCUUAGAUAUCGUCAAGAACACCGAUAGUGUAGACAGCUUACUAGGCUCUAACUGACACUGAGGCACGAAAGUGUGGGGAUCAAACAGGAUUAGAAACCCCCGUAGUCC
rnacentral:rRNA from 1 species